GUCGGUAGACAUGGGAGUGAGGAAAAGACGAAAGUACCUCCGAAAGGGUACCGGGUCAUUUUGGAGUGGAAGGGUAAUAUUCCUGUUGGGGAUUGGACCGUCAGAUUUAAUAACCUGAUAGGCUGUUUAAUAAGAGAUCCAUGCUCAAUUAACAUUGCUCAUAACUUUGAGGAGCAAGAAUUUAAAGGCAUAAAGGAGAUUUGGGUGAAGCUUAUGGAUCAUUAUUAUCUUGAGGACAACCCAGAGUCUUGGGAUUAUGUUAUCCCCAAAAUGGCCAAGCUUAUUCGGGGUUGGAAGAGUGAUCUAAAAAAUAUAUUUUACAAUAAUAUCUACUGAUUGGAAGAUGAUCUAUGAGCUUGAUAAGAGAGUUUAUCCAUUUAAUUGGAUGACUCUCAUUAUCGAGUGAGAGGGUGAGAAGAAGAAAAUAUGUGAGACAGCAUCGGUGAAUCGCAAAAUGAAGAUAUACGAUCACUUCUUAGGAUCUACUUCUUAUGCUCGGAUCGAGCAUAAGUAUUUGAGUGAAAACCCGGUAUGAUCAUAUUAUUAAAACUGAUAUCAUGUGAUUAGUUUUAUACAUUUACUUUGAAAUUUAAUAUAUCACAGGACGCUUUGACUAUGCCCCUGACUCUUCUUGCUAGAAGAGCUUAUACACCGCCCAGGACUAUGAAAAUGUAGAGGGAAAUGACAAAAAAGUGGAGAAACUUAAUGAAUUGGUCGCGGUGGUGGAAGCUUCUCAAAACGAGGUCUUGACCCGUGUCAGUCAAUCUCAGGGUAUAGAAGACACUUCUGUAGAGCCUAACCGCAUGACCAGAGACGAGUGGAUGGAAAUCGUCGACGGAGCUUACGGUUUACAACCAAUAAAGAAAGGAAGAGUUCCUUUGUCAAGUGCUGGAGCUAAGAAAUUCACCACCACCAAUAAGCUUAGCAGCCAAUCUGUGACCUCGACGCGACCAUGUGACACAUCAUACGUUGUGGGUAAGAUUGGUCAAUACUUGUUGAAGAAUGUUGAAGCCUCUUUGGUUUUAAGUUUUCUUCCCACUAUUAAACACGAGUUAGGUGGUGCACAAACGACCUGGGAUGUCGUUCAGCGACUCGUCGAUUCUCAACCCUUAAAGGACUUGCUUCCGUAGCCUAUAUACAUGGAUAUCAUGGGGAUGGAAUUUAAUGAGCAUGCAGCUAUAAGUGGUGGAGAGGCUAGAUGAGGUACUGUAGGAAGCAGCAGUACGAUACGAUAUUUUGAUGCACCUGUUGCCGACGAUAGGGAUCAAGAUGACUACAAUGAAUGAGUAGUGAGUUAGACUUUAUUGUUACUUUUGUCGACUUUUGGAUUGUGUUGAGCAUAU